GUGGAGCCAUCCUUGAAAUACCACCCUUGUAUGUUUGAUGUUCUAACUUAGCCCCGUUAUCCGGGGUGAGGACAGUGCCUGGUGGGUAGUUUGACUGGGGCGGUCUCCUCCCAAAGCGUAACGGAGGAGCACGAAGGUGGGCUAAUCACGGUCGGACAUCGUGAGGUUAGUGCAAUGGCAUAAGCCCGCUUAACUGCGAGAGUGACGGCUCGAGCAGGUACGAAAGUAGGUCAUAGUGAUCCGGUGGUUCUGAAUGGAAGGGCCAUCGCUCAACGGAUAAAAGGUACUCCGGGGAUAACAGGCUGAUACCGCCCAAGAGUUCAUAUCGACGGCGGUGUUUGGCACCUCGAUGUCGGCUCAUCACAUCCUGGGGCUGAAGUCGGUCCCAAGGGUAUGGCUGUUCGCCAUUUAAAGUGGUACGCGAGCUGGGUUUAGAACGUCGUGAGACAGUUCGGUCCCUAUCUGCCGUGGGCGUUGGAUGAUUGAGGGGAGCUGCUCCUAGUACGAGAGGACCGGAGUGGACGAACCGCUGGUGUUCGGGUUGUGUCGCCAGACG
rnacentral:rRNA from 1 species